rnacentral:rRNA from 1 species
GGGAAUAUUGCACAAUGGGCGCAAGCCUGAUGCAGCCAUGCCGCGUGUAUGAAGAAGGCCUUAGGGGUGUAAAGUACUUUCAGCGGGGAGGAAGGUGAUAAAGUUAAUACCUUUAUCAAUUGACGUUACCCGCAGAAGAAGCACCGGCUAACUCCGUGCCAGCAGCCGCGGUAAUACGGAGGGUGCAAGCGUUAAUCGGAAUUACUGGGCGUAAAGCGCACGCAGGCGGUCAAUUAAGUCAGAUGUGAAAGCCCCGAGCUUAACUUGGGAAUUGCAUCUGAAACUGGUUGGCUAGAGUCUUGUAGAGGGGGGUAGAAUUCCAUGUGUAGCGGUGAAAUGCGUAGAGAUGUGGAGGAAUACCGGUGGCGAAGGCGGCCCCCUGGACAAAGACUGACGCUCAGGUGCGAAAGCGUGGGGAGC